AGCACCACAAGGGGUGAAGCCUGCGGUUCAAUUGGAGUCAACGCCGGAAAUCUUACCGGGGGCGACAGCAGAGUGAAGGUCAAGCUGAAGACUUUACCAGACAAGCUGAGAGGAGGUGCAUGGCCGUCGCCAGCUCGUGCCUGAGGUGUCCUGUUAAGUCAGGUAACGAGCGAGAUCCCUGCCUCUAGUUGCUACCAUUAUUCUCAGGAGUAGUGGAGCUAAUUAGAGGGACCGCCGUCGCUGAGACGGAGGAAGGUGGGGGCUACGGCAGGUCAGUAUGCCCCGAAACCCUCGGGCCACACGCGGGCUGCAAUGGUAAGGACAAUGAGUUUCGAUUCCGAAAGGAGGAGGCAAUCUCUAAACCUUACCACAGUUAUGAUUGAGGGCUGAAACUCGCCCUCAUGAAUAUGGAAUCCCUAGUAACCGCGUGUCACUAUCGCGCGGU
rnacentral:rRNA from 1 species